GACGAACGCUGGCGGCGUGCCUAAUACAUGCAAGUAGAGCGCUGAAGGAAGGAGCUUGCUCUUUCUGGAUGAGUUGCGAACGGGUGAGUAACGCGUAGGUAACCUGCCUGGUAGCGGGGGAUAACUAUUGGAAACGAUAGCUAAUACCGCAUAAAAUUGAUUAUUGCAUGAUAGUCAAUUAAAAGGUGCAACUGCACCACUACCAGAUGGACCUGCGUUGUAUUAGCUAGUUGGUGGGGUAACGGCUCACCAAGGCGACGAUACAUAGCCGACCUGAGAGGGUGAUCGGCCACACUGGGACUGAGACACGGCCCAGACUCCUACGGGAGGCAGCAGUAGGGAAUCUUCGGCAAUGGACGGAAGUCUGACCGAGCAACGCCGCGUGAGGGAAGAGGGUUUUCGGAUCGUAAAGCUCUGUUGUAAGAGAAGAACGAGUGUGAGAGUGGAAAGUUCACACUGUGACGGUAUCUUACCAGAAAGGGACGGCUAACUACGUG
rnacentral:rRNA from 1 species